AUUGAACGCUGGCGGCAAGCCUAACACAUGCAAGUCGAACGAGUGGCGGACGGGUGAGUAAUGUCUGGGAAACUGCCUGAUGGAGGGGGAUAACUACUGGAAACGGUAGCUAAUACCGCAUACCAUCGGAUGUGCCCAGAUGGGAUUAGCUAGUAGGUGGGGUAAAGGCUCACCUAGGCGACGAUCCCUAGCUGGUCUGAGAGGAUGACCAGCCACUCUGGAACUGAGACACGGUCCAGGCUCCUAGGGUAGGCAGCAGUGGGGAAUUGUGCACAAUGGGCGCGAGCCUGAUGCAGCCAGGCGGCGUGUAUGAAGAGGGCCUUCGGGUUGUAAAGUACUUUCAGCGGGGAGGCGUUACCCGCAGAAGAAGCACCGGCUAACUCCGUGCCAGCCGCCGCGGUAAUUC
rnacentral:rRNA from 1 species